AUUGAACGCUGGCGGCAUGCUUUACACAUGCAAGUCGAACGGCAGCGCGGGCUUCGGCCUGGCGGCGAGUGGCGAACGGGUGAGUAAUGCAUCGGAACGUGCCCAGUAGUGGGGGAUAGCCCGGCGAAAGCCGGAUUAAUACCGCAUACGACCUGAGGGUGAAAGCGGGGGACCGAAAGGCCUCGCGCUCUUGGAGCGGCCGAUGUCGGAUUAGCUAGUUGGUGGGGUAAAGGCUUACCAAGGCGACGAUCCGUAGCUGGUCUGAGAGGACGACCAGCCACACUGGGACUGAGACACGGCCCAGACUCCUACGGGAGGCAGCAGUGGGGAAUUUUGGACAAUGGGGGCAACCCUGACCCAGCCAUGCCGCGUGCGGGAAGAAGGCCUUCGGGUUGUAAACCGCGUGUGUUCGGGAAGAAAUCCUCUGGGCUAAUACCCCGGGGGGAUGACGGUACCGGAAGAAUAAGCACCGGCUAGCUACGUG
rnacentral:rRNA from 1 species